rnacentral:lncRNA from 10 species
GCCUGCACAAAGCCGCGUCCUCGCGUCCCCGCGUCCCCGCCGCCGCCUCGGGCCGCCGCGCGCGGCCCCUCCUCCUCUCCUCCCGCCGCCGCCUCGGCCGCUUCUUCCGCUUUUUUUUUUUUUUAAUUUAGAUGUGAUGUUUGUUUCGAGCUCUCGCCUUGCGCACGGUUAAAGUCGCGGCGGCAGAAUUAUCGGAAGAUUCCUGCAGGGGAAAGAAGAGAGAGACGAGUCAGCUCCGGCGCCGGCGGAGCCCCGGCUCUCGGCACCUGGGGAAGGAAAACACGCCCCAACACACGCGCCUCUGCGGGCGCCAAAAAUAACCCGCGCGGGCCGGGCGCCCACCCCGGGGCAACCCGCGCCCACCUCAGGGGCCCCAGGCACCCACCCCGAGGUAACGGGGCGCCCACGUCAGGGGCUCGGGGCGCGCUUCCCCGGGGCUCAGAGCAACUGGGGUCGGAGCACCCGCCACGCAGGAAAAGGCGCCCACCUCCGGCGAAGGGCGAGGGGAAGUGGCGGCCGCCCCGACACUCUCUGGACACGCGGAGGCGGCUCCCGAGGAUCUCCCGGCCCCGGGCGGGCGGGGGGCGACGCGUGGGUCUCUCCGGACCCUAACUCCCCAGAGGCUGCCGCGUGCCGAGCUCUGUCACGUCCCCUCAGAGCCCCGUUAAGGCCCGCGGCGCCGAGAGGAAGCCCACGGCGGGCAGGGGCGGCCGGGUAUGACAAUCGCCGUGCGGCCCCGGGGCAGCUCCCGGAGGGGGCAGCCCAGACCCACCCCACCCGCCGGCUGCUGUCUCCUCCCGAGCUCGGCGCUGCCCCCUACAGGCCGCGUGGUCCCUCCUCGGUCGCCCCCUGACCCACCAUGAGCCGCCUAGCUCCCUGUCGAGAUUGCCGCCGUCGCGGCUGCUGUCACCGAGGCCGGGUCAUCGGGCCGCGGGGACCUCAAAGCCGAGUGGACGGGAGCCCCAAGUCAUUGCCUAUCCUUCGCCUCCCCAGAGCUGCUGCAACUGUCAGUCACCCACCCGGAACCCCGAGGGGCAACUACCAAGUAGGCCUCGGGGCCCGGAACAAGGGUCCCGGGGCUCAGGAUCUCGGCCGCUGCGCCUCACUCCUGCCCCAGCCCCGCGCACGGAACUCGUUUCCUUCCCACCCAGUUCGGGACACUCCUCUCUGACUUCCCCAGUAGGUCAGACUCAUUUCAUACACUGGGACCAAUUCCUUUCCCUUGGGCUCCUGAUUGAUUCAACUAGUUGGAAGGAUGCUGAGGCAGGGGUGAAGGCUGGGGUGGCUGGCAGGCUAUGAGGGGCAGAGGACAUCAGCAGAGCCUAUUUCGUGCCCUCUGAGUCUCCACACACAGAUUUAUCAUUGAGACCUUCCCGAUUCCCCUACCAGGGAUGCCGGCUGGCCCUGCCGGCCUGCGGGGCCCAGCCUAAGUCAGGCUCAUCUUUUGGGACAGGAUCUCACUUGCAGCGCUACAGCCAGUCCCUCUUCUGGUUCUCACGCACCCACUUAAGGCGGAGUGACUGGCCUAAAAGUCCAAGCUGAUCGUGUGGCUUCCGUUCGUAAAUAUCUCCCCUGGAUCUCCCUCCCUGGAGCCAGACAAGACUCAAAACUCCGAAGGGAAUGCAGUCCCCGCAGGGCGCAAAGGAGAAACUAAUAGUCCAGAGGCGGGGUGAACUUAAAGACCUGGCUUUCAUUAGCGUGGUGUUGUAACAGACUGCCAAGGAGCCUCUGAGGAAAUGGAUUUACGUACAUAUACAUACUCGCCCUUGCCCCUGAAGCAACAUCAAAUACUUUCAUGUUAUUCUUGGGGGCGUUUUAAUUCUUCCGAUCCUCUGAAUUCGUGUUUUUGUACAUCUCUUUCCAACCUGGGCCUACACACUAACAGAAAUAGUUUUUUACAUCGAAGGACAAUGCUUAGUGUUUUAUUCAGUCUCAGCUCUUUUCUUUCUUUUUUCUCGUUGUGUUUCAAAAUGUUUAUUUUUUCUGUCUUGUGAUAGUUUUGGAGGAAAAAUAUUGAAAUAAUUCAAAUCAGGCUCUUAACUCUGCUUUAUUAAAUUUAUAGUCAUAGUAGCCUGUGAGUAUGCUUCGGGGGAGGAAAAAAGAAUGCUGGGGUCUUUAUUCUUCAAGUUCUCUAAGUUUGAUAUUUUGAAUAAACACCCAGAGGUGUCUCUGCCUUUUGUGUGUUAGUAUCUAAUCUUUCCUGCAUUUACGAGUCACUAGUAAAAUGCUAUGAAAGCCAUAGAUCCCAUGGCUCUCACUGUGAUUUUCCUGGGCUGAGUAGGGACUUAGUGAUGUUUAACCCCCAGUAUGCUUUUUAUAGAAGCACCAGCUGAUUCACCAGUGCCCUCCAAAGUGAGCACCUAUCCAUCUCACUCUGGACUCCCAACAGGUCAUACCAGGGAGCUUCGUUGAAAUAGACUUGGCAUUUAAAUUAAAAUGUUUCCCAAAGCAUCUUGGCAGACCUGUAACUAAUGAUGCCAGAGGCCCAAGGCCUGUGCCAGGUUCCCUUUUAUUCCCAUAAGUGCUUGUCUCCCACAAGCCACUGGUCACACGCCUGCUGAUGUUAUAGAAGCACUUCUUCAUCCCACAAACAGCCCAACUGUAGGUACCCUAUCUCAGACAUGGUGAAGGGAAGCAGCAUGUUCCUCUGACAUGUGCGAUGCUUGGCUCCCAACAGGCUUUUUAUAAUAAGCUAAACUCAGAUUUUUUCAUCACAAAUAGCGU